AGACCACAAAACACACAGUGAAGUUCUGUGAUUUCUUUUCCUCUCUGUUCACCUGUUGGUUAACUUCGAUGGUCCUUCUUGAGACAGAAUCUCGCUGUAUCGCCCAGGCUGGAGUGUAGUGGUGCGAUCCUGGCUCACUGCAAUUUCCACCUCCUGGGUUCAAGCAAUUCUCCUGUCUCAGCCUUCCUGAGUAGCUGGGAUUAUAGGCAUGCACCUCCCACGACUGGCUACUUUUUUUGUGUUUUUAGUAAAGACGGGGUUGUACCAUGUUGGCCAGGAUGGUCUCAAUCUCCUGACCUCGUGAUCUGCCCACCUCGGCCUCCCAAACUGCUGGGAUUACAGGUGUGAGCCACUGUGCCCGGCCUGAUGGUCCUUUUAAUAAAGAAUGAUUGUCAUCUUUCCUCCUUCACCUUAGCUCCAAGUUGGACCUGCGUCACUUCUCUCUGCUCUGUCCCCAACUCCACUGUCCCAUCUACCCAAUGUCCCCUAGCUGCUUCCCCCAGCAACCCUGCUGUUUGCUUUUCUGCUGUUUUGUUUUGUACAACCAACUCCAGCCCCCACUUCAGGUCAUAUCAAAUGACACAUUUAAAAGGAGGCUGACUGUCUUGGACGGUCCAAGACACGUGGACACUACUAUAAAAUACAUCCACCUUGAAUACUGAGAGCUUCCUGUAAGCCUUUCACUUUUUCCUUCCCAACAUGACUUCCUAAAUGCACCAAAGUUACUAUUUGAAUUUUAUAUGAUUCUGCCCUAAGAGUCAAAACCGGGUCCCUUUACUUAUGUGUGCCAUGGGAAGGUGAGGAUUUGGCUUUGGAUAAAACAUAUUGUGGAGGUCAAAGCCCUGACUCUGCUUUUCCAAAUAUGAACUGGUGUUCCUAGGAAGCACACCGCAGGACCGACCUACAUUUCCAAUUUGUGCCCAAGUGGGAGUGGCUAGGUGAAUUCAGGGAAAGAGACUUGAAGUUAGCUCUUGAGAUAUUGGCCGCCAUAUUGAAAAGUUGGAGGCAUGGCUUGGAGGAGUGUGGCUGACUUUUGGACCCCAGGCCACCUUCUCCAGUCUGGCAGUUUGAAGACGGUCUUUUCCCAUUUGGUAACGGGGAAGAGACAGAAAGUAGGAAAAAGACAGCCUUUACUUGUGCUUGUUCUUUAGCUGAGGUGAAUGUAUCUGAGGGUAGACGAUGCCCUUCAAAUGGCUUUGCUGCUUUUGGCAUGCUGCUUUGUUCAGGCGCAGACAAUCACUUGCACAGAACAGCGUGUGUACAUGUAGAUAUCACUUGGCCAUCUUCUCCUUGCUGGGGAAAUGCUCCUUGAGAACCAUGGGAUGGAAACAUGAGCCAAGGAAAUCCUCUUAAUCUCUUGCAAGGAUCUUCCAGCCAUCACCACCUCGGGGUUGAGGAUGACUGAAGGUCAUCCUGAGUGCCUGAUAAUGCAGAUACAGUUCAGUGUGGGGAGGACAGGGCUGGAGGGAAAAAGCCACCGGCUGCUACUUCUCUGCCAAAGAACAGCUUUAGGGAAAUAAAAGACAGCUGCAUAGGAAGCAGCCAGGCACUUCCAUGGAUGCUUUCAUUUGUGAACAGAGGCCGUGCUAAGCAACAGCUAAAAGGAGCCUUGGGCAUCCCUGACCGGACAGUGGACAGUUCUUUGUUUCCCCCAUAAAUAAGGGACAUUUUCUUCAGGACUGUGAUGUAUUCCAGAAAUUUGUUGUUAGUGAGGGCUUUCAGUUGUCUUUUCAUAUUCUCAUGGUUCUUAGGUCUUUAUAAUAUCACAUAUUGGGAAAAAGUAUAGGUUUUGACAAUCUGGCUUUGGUGAUUAUAAAAUAUAUAAGCUUAGUCUUCAAACCUCCCUGGUUUUACAUAUUCCUCAUCUCUAUACAGGGGACAGUAAUAUCAGCCUUUGGGGGCUGUGGGGCUCAAAAUGCUUGUUUAAUUGAUGUGGUCCUGGCUACCUGUCUAGCCUUAUGUCAUUUGUUGCAGUAUUUCAGGCCAAAUUGAUGCCUUUCUCUUCCCUACUCAGCAGGCUCUUUCACACCUCUUUAAUACUUCCUAUCCCUCUGCCUGAAAUAUCACUCCCUGACUCGUUCAUUUCUCAAGCUCAGUUCAUCCUUCAAGGGCCAUUGGACUGUUGCCUCCUCUGUGGUACCACCUUCGCCCCUGUGUCUCUGCCUCUAUUUACCUCCAUGGGAGCUCAUCAUACACUCUCUGUUUGGGGAAAGUCUUCAUGAAAACUGUUCCUCUCCCCCACUAGACUCUGAAGUUUUUGAAGACAUGGUGAAGUAUCCAUUGCUGGUGGAAGACACAGGGAGAUGUGAGACAGUUCCUAUCAGCUGGACACUAUAUGGACACUUAGCGAUUGCUGGAGCAAGGAGAGAAUGUCUGAUUUUCUGAUAGUUCUGGGUUGCUAAAGGAUGAGACAGAGCAAGGGGCCUUUUGUUCAUCAAAAAACCUGAAGUCUAUGGCCAUGGAAGUAUGAAAGAAACAAAGCAUAGAGAUGCUCACCAAUGUGCCCGGUCACACAGCGCCUACAUGAUGGCCAGGGUACCGUAAUGUUCAUGUCCACGAGAUGAAGGAGCUUGGAGACCCACAAACUCACACUAUCAAAGAAUCCAACCCCUAGCAAACUCUUCCGUAACGGCCAAAUGGUAAUGAUUUUAGGCUUUGUGGACCGUUCUGUCUUUGUCACAACUACUCAGUUCUACUGCUGUAAUGGGAAGGCAGCCAGAGACAGUGCGAAUGAAAGAGUGGGGCUGUGUUCCAUAAAACUUUGUUUGUGGACACCGAAAGGUGAGUUGCGUGUAAUUUCCAUGUGUUAGAAAAUAUUAUUCUUAAAAAUUGUUUUCAUCCCUUAAAACAUGUAAAAAUCACCCUUAGCUCCGAGGCUAUACAAAACCAGGCAGUGGGCUGGAUUUGGUCCCCAGCAAUGAUGUGCUAAGCCCUGCACUACACAAUCCAGUUAUUUAUCAGAUGUUUUAGUGAAUAAACGGUUCAAUGAGAGAGCUGUCAAGAGUGUGGAUGAGGCCAGGUGCAGUGGCUCACGCCUGUAAUCCCAGCACUUUGGAAGGCUAAGGUGGGUGGAUCACUUGAGGUCAGGAGUUUGGGACCAGCCUGGCCAACAUGGCAAAAUGCCAUCUCUAUUCAAAAUACAAAAGUUAGCCAGGCGUGGUGAGCAGUGAGACCAGCUGAUGAAGCCGGGAGAUGAGUGCGAUCAAAGUUUGGGAAGAGCUGCCAUGAGGAUGUACGGCUCUAGGGAUGUCAGGGUGGAUAUGAGACUUUGCCAGGACAUAGGGCUAUACGUGAACCCAUUUUAUUUAAAUUUCAGAGGGCAGGGUAACCUCACGCACCUGUAAUCCCAGCUACUUAGGAGGCUGAGGCUGGAGAAUCCCUUGAACCUGGGAGGUGGAGGUUGCAGUGAGCCAAGAUUGAGCUACUACACUCCAGCCUGGGCAAUGGAGCUACACUCUGUCUCAAAAAAAAAAAAAAGAUGGGUAUCACGGCCUUUUUCCCUAGGAGACAUUUGCUGAAAUUCACAUAGGGCUCUUCCCAGACAAAUUAGCAUGUUUCAGUCCCUGUUCCUUUUAAUCUGAUCGGCCUAAAUCAAGCAUUCCUUUCCUUGGACAAAUCACUGCUCCCCUCAACCCCUCACCUCACCUGCCUUGUGUGUGCAAGUGUGUGUGUGUGUGUGUGUGCACGAGAAGGUCUGAACAGUCAUCUCCAAAGUCCCUUUUGGCGCUGAAAUUCUCAAAUUAAAAGAAAAAUCAAAUGUUUAGGGCUCGUUUGUUUUGUCUCUUACUUUCUUUUCUUGCCCCUUGCUCUCUUCUCACUCAAAUCCUAUGAGCAUCCUCUCUUUUGACUCUGCCUCCUCAAAGAUACUGUAUCUCAAGGCUGGUGGGAUUAUCGAAUCCAAAAGCAUCUCAGGGAAAAACAGCUGGAAUAUCCAGCAUAAGAAGGGAAACUGGCAAGAGGUGAAGGGGGUGUCAUUGCUGUUCUUUUUGUUGACUUGUAAAGCCGCGUGCUUUAACCGUCUCAAGAUAGCAGGGAUUUUUCUGUGUGUGUACGUGUUUUGCUUUUUUUUCUUGAGAGUCAAAUGUAAUACUCUCGUGUUUUCCUUUUUUUUUUUCAGGGAAAUGUAAGAGGAAUUCAUUUUCUUUGGGAUUAACAAAAUCUUUCUUCUUUUAUGUUGGCAACAUGAGGUUUUAGCAGAUCUCUGAUCUCGUACUGAGUAAGAAAUAUGGUAUGACAAUGGUGCACAGAGGCUGGGGGCUUGAACUCAAUUUGGAUUACAGAGCACAGCAGCAGGCCUGCUGCAGCUAAUAGAGGCGGGUCUUUGCCAGUGAUGCCGAGGGACAGCUUCGGGGACCCAGCCCUACACGCCCUGUCUAUUGUUCCACCCUAAUCUGAGGCCAGUUAGCAGGUGGGGGGGAGGCUGAGCCUCACAGUCAGGUGCUCCAGGGCAGCAGGCCGGCAAGCCCAGUGGACGCAAGGUGCUGCCGUGUCAAAGCCAGGAUGGACACCGAGUGGGGAAGCGUAGGAGAGUGGGGAUGUUGGUUGAGCUAUUUAACCUCUCUGAGUCCAGUUCUUCCAUCUUUAAACUUGGGUUAAUCCCAUCCAUGUCUCAAGGCCUCAGCAGUCUAGAGGUGCGGAAGGGAUCCCGGUGACAAGUGUGGGCGUUUUGUUAGCUUCUCACCGGGUGACUGCAGGAUCUUGGCACUUCUCUCUCCUCUGGGUCUCACCAAGCUCUCAUUUUUGUUGUUAUUUCUUUGCUUUUUCAGGUCGUGAUUUAAAUGUCUACUGACACAGUCUGUUGUAUUUUCCCAUUCCCACCCCGGUGUUGCCUGGCCCUGCAGUGGCACCACUGACUCCUGGGGUCCUGCCGUCACUCAUGAAGACAGUUCUUUGUGCACCAACACUGCACACCCAGUGGAGACUCUAGCCUGGCUGUCAAAGACAGAGUGGGGCCAUGCUCCCCAUUUCCCUGUGUUUCUUACCAUUCCCCAAGUGGUGUGUCAGUCUUUUCCCCUUUUCUAUCAAACAAAAGCCUCACCAUCUAUUUCCUGGUGCACAAAUGCUUGAGAUGCUGCUGGACCUGUAUCCCCUUCUUAGCCCCAAGCACCCUGCCUUGUAUGCACUAUGCAUCUGCCGCAUAUGCGCUACGCCUCUGCUGCGUAUGUGCUACACAUCUGCCAUGUAUGCGCUAUGCCUCUGCCACGUAUAUGCGAUGCAUCUGUUAUGUAUCUGUGUACACCAGGCUCUUGAGAGGGUUUGUGUGAAUGGCAUGAAAUCAAAUUUGAUCAUGAGAACAGCUCACAAUUGUUGAGCACUUGCUGGAUGCCAGGUGCUGCUGGUUGACGAGCUUUUUGUGUGCGUCUUCUCAUAGAAUUCGCCAAACAACCUAUUUUCAGAAAGCAAGCCCUAGAGAAGAGAAACAAGCAUAAAGCACAUUUAGUGGCACCAGCAGGAUUCAAAUCCAGGCACUCUGAUUCCAGGACCUGCCUUCAGAACCACCACUGUGUGCAUGUAAAUGACUUCCCAAGACUGGCACAUGGUCAUUGUCUGGCACCUGUCAACUCCAGCUGUGAAUUGGUGUUGUCUCUUUAACCUCCUCCUGGUGCAGGCAGGACAGAGACAGAAAGAGACAGGAGGGAAAACUGCAACAGCACGAAGGGGCUGGCCCGGGUUGUAGAUAUUUGCUGGUUCCAAGAAGAAGUGCUGCUGGUGGGCUGGGAUUUCAUGUAAGACUUUGAGGGUAUAGGGAGUUGAAUAAGUAGAGGUAAAGAAAAGGGAAAUCAGGCUGGGAGUGGUGUCUCACACUUGUAAUCCCAGCACUGUGGGAGGCCAAGGUGGGUGGAUCACAAGGUCAGGAGUUUGAGACCAGCCUGGCCAACACAGUGCUGGGCUUCCAGGCGUGAGCCACUGCACCUGGCCUCAUCUGUACUCUUGACAGCUCUCUCAUUGAACCAUUCAUUCACUUAAAACAUCUGAUAAAUAACUGAAUUGUGUAGUGGAUGUGGCUGCACAUGUGUGCGUGAUUG